AUAUGAACUGUAUUUUACUGUAAAACAGAUAUACAGUAUGUUACUGUAUUUUAAAGUUGCAUUAUGGGAAAUAUCCCAUUGGCGCCAAUAAAAUACAGUAUUUUUCAUUUACUGUAAACUGAAAUACAGUAAAAACAAAUGAGCGCGAAAACUGACCAAUCACAGAGAGGCUUAUGUCUCCGCUUGGAGAAAGAAGAAAAGGAAGACAGCGAUGCAAGAACCUGGCAGCUGCAAAGAACGUUUCACCAUCGAAGUAGGGCCUAUGAACAUUAACUGGUUUCUGUCUUGGGUUUGACUCGACUACGUUGGGAGCAGGUUCAUUGUGAUGAUUAACCCCGACAGCAAGUUCUCCUCAAAGUUCCAGUUCAGCAAAAGAAGUGGGAAGAUGGUGCAAAGGAAGAACUCUGGCCUGAACCCUCAUGUAUCCUCCUGUAUUAAAGGGUUUGUUCACCCAAAGAUUUAAAUGAUCUCAUAAUUUACUCAUCCUCAAGCCAUUAGUUGUAUAUAACUUUCUUCUUUCAGCCAAAUACAAACAGAGUUAUAUUAAAAAAUAUCUUGG